UACAGAGGGUGCAAGCGUUGUUCGGAAUUAUUGGGCGUAAAGCGCGCGCAGGCGGUCCUUUAAGUCUGAUGUGAAAGCCCACGGCUCAACCGUGGAAGGUCAUUGGAAACUGGAGGACUUGAGUACAGAAGAGGAAAGCGGAAUUCCACGUGUAGCGGUGAAAUGCGUAGAGAUGUGGAGGAACACCAGUGGCGAAGGCGGCUUUCUGGUCUGUAACUGACGCUGAGGCGCGAAAGCGUGGGGAGCAAACAGG
rnacentral:rRNA from 1 species